ACAAGGUAGCCCUAGGGGAACCUGGGGCUGGAUCACCUCCUUAU
rnacentral:rRNA from 1 species